rnacentral:rRNA from 1 species
CGAAGAACGAACGCUGGCGGCAUGCCUAACACAUGCAAGUCGAACGAAGUCUUCGGACUUAGUGGCGCACGGGUGCGUAACGCGUGGGAAUCUGCCCUUGGGUGCGGAAUAACUUCUCGAAAGGGAUGCUAAUACCGCAUAAUGUCGUAAGACCAAAGAUUUAUCGCCCAAGGAUGAGCCCGCGUAAGAUUAGCUAGUUGGUGGGGUAAAAGCCUACCAAGGCGACGAUCUUUAGCUGGUCUGAGAGGAUGAUCAGCCACACUGGGACUGAGACACGGCCCAGACUCCUACGGGAGGCAGCAGUGGGGAAUAUUGGACAAUGGGCGAAAGCCUGAUCCAGCAAUGCCGCGUGAGUGAUGAAGGCCCUAGGGUUGUAAAGCUCUUUUACCAGGGAUGAUAAUGACAGUACCUGGAGAAUAAGCUCCGGCUAACUCCGUG